rnacentral:misc_RNA from 1 species
AAUCAUUGAUUGUUCCGCAGGCGCUCCCUCGAUCUUAUAUCAGCCUGCCGGAUGGGCUCUGGAACACGAAAUUUGCAAGUCAUCCUCACAAUUGCAAUGGCACUGGCGAGAGAUAUACGGUGACCAACUGAAAUAAAUAUGGGCUUCAAAGAGCCCUCAGAUGAUCGCAUUGCCGCUCCCCAGAUACAUCCAGAGUCCCCAAUUAGCGGUAAGAUAUGUUCGGGAGAGUCUGCUGCUUGAAGGAGUUCUCUUACCGUAGAUUGUGUAAGACCAUCAACGUGGUGUAAAU